GACGAACGCUGGCGGCGUGCCUAAUACAUGCAAGUCGAACGAGUGGUGAACGGGUGAGUAACACGUGGGUAAAUACCCAUCAGAGGGGGAUAACUACUGGAAACGGUGGCUAAUACCGCACACUAUCGGUUGAACCUAUAUGGGAUUAGCUAGUGGGUGGGGUAAAGGCCCACCUAGGCGACGAUCUGUAGCUGGUCUGAGAGGAUGAUCAGCCACACUGGGACGGAGACACGGCCCAGACUCCUACGGGAGGCAGCAGUGGGGAAUAUUGCACAAUGGGCGAAAGCCUGAUACAGCCAUGCCGCGUGUAUGAAGAAGGCCUUAGGGUUGUAAAGUACUUUCAGCGGGGAGGCGUUACCCGCAGAAGAAGCACCGGCUAACUCCGUGCCAGCCGCCGCGGUAAUAC
rnacentral:rRNA from 1 species